CGACUACGGGAACGAAGGAAGGAGAGGAGAUUUGAUCUCACUCGCCCGCUUAAGGAUUCCACCUCGCCUCCGAGGCAUCCCGGAAGGCCUUGACGGCUCCGUUGCCGAGAGAACCCGAGGCUACCCUUGUUUCCCCGAGAGUCUCUGAAGUCUGCCGAUUCACCUCUUCCUGAGCCAAUGCAACUAGGCAGAGCUAGGCUGUCUCCAGCCGAACGGCUAUACAGGCAUCACACUAAGAGUUGCCUGUAUUGCGGGACUACUGGUCAUUUUGUCUCCACCUGUCCACUAAAAGACUAGGCUCACUGGUAGGAGUGAGUACUCUGGGGGGCCAUACAGAGAACUUUUCCUCUCUCCUUACUCGCACCCCUUUUCAUGUUAUUUUGCUUUGGGGGAAACAGUCGAAAUCUCUCCAGGUACUCAUCGACGCUACCCUGGCAUCCGAACUGGGCAUCCCCAUUAAGCCCCUCUCCAUUCCCAUGGAUGUUAGAGUACUGGACGGGCGCGCUAUAGGCUGUGUCACCCACAAUACCACCCCCUUCAACCUACGUGGGUCAGGGAACCACAGCGAGACCAUCCAAUUCCUAAGUCUUCUCAGGUUCCCAUGGUAUUGGGAUUCUCUUGGCUCCAGCGACACAAUCCCCUUAUUGACUGGUCUGCUGUGCCAUCAUGGGCUGGAACCCGUUCUGCCACGCUCAUUGCCUGAAGUCAGUGCAGCCUGCCCCAGGACGUCUUCCUGGGGGCUCGGCAGUCGCCCCGGACCUCUCCACUAUUUCCGCGGAGUACCAGGACCUCCAGGAGGUGUUCAGUGAGACCCGGGCCCCUUCGCUUCCGCCGCACCGACCCUAUGACUGCGGGAUUGACCUUCUCCCAGGCACCACUCCGCCCCGGGGACGACUGUACUCUCUGUCGGGUCCAGAGACCAAGGCUAUGGUGGCCUACAUUGAGGACUCCCUAGCUGCAGGGUUCUUCCGUCCUUCUGCCUCCCCCGCUGGCACAGGGUUCUUCUUUAAGGAGAAGAAGGACAAAACCCUGCGCCUGUGCAUCGACUACCGGGGCCUCAACAACAUCACUGUGAAGAACGCUAUCCGCUACCACUCAUCUCCUGGUCCUUUGAGCCACUCCAGGGGGCCACCGUGUUCUCCAAGCUGGACCUAUGGAACGCCUACCACCUGGUGCGGAUAUGGGAAGGGGACGAGUGGAAGACUGCCUUCAACAUGGCCAGCGGUCACUACGAGUAUCUGGUCAUGACAUUUGGCCUUACCAAAACCUCAGCUGUGUUCCAGGCUCUGGUUAAUGAUGUUCUCCGCCAAAUGUUGAACCGGUUCGUCUUAGUCUACCUCGACGACAUCUGCGUCUUCUCCCACUCCGCCCAAGAACACGUGCGCCAUGUCUGACAGGUUCUCCAAGUUUGUGGGACUCCACCUGGAGGGGCAUAUCCUGGGUGGACAGCCAUACCCGGGGUGCCGGGCUCCGGUGGCGGUUCGCUUGUUGUCAAUACCUGGAGGUGGUCUUGAGAAGAGCCAACCGGGCUCUCUUCCAGGAACGAUGACAGCGGCGGACAAACAUCUGGCCGAAUGUAUGCCGACCUCUUCCUCAGGGAAGAGCAAGGGCCGAUAACCCAGGGAACACUCAAAGGGCGAGAGACCCUUGGCAGAGCAAGGAAGGUUGCUAUCUAUUGUGCUUGAGGCCAUUUCACAGCCGCCAUUCAGGCCACUGGAAAGCAUGGAAAUUAGAUGUCUCUAAUAAAUGACCACUUUACAUAUAGCCAGUAAGACUAGCUGUCACCAUUGGCGUCGGCUAAUGGGGAUCCUAAUAAAUAAAAGUAUUUCCGUAAUCUCUUGGGCCAACGCCCUGCCCAGGAAGGCCCAUUUCCUGCCAGCGUCUAUCCCACUGGAUAGUGGGCUAUUAUACUGGCGUAUAAAAGCAAAGUUUAUCACCCUCGGAGGGCUUGAGAGCUCACUCCACUAGAGGUAUGGCGGCGUCAUGGGCAAUGUUCAAGGGCAUCUCUGUUCAAGAGAUUUGUAAUGUGGAACGUUGGCCUACCCCCCCAUACCUUCAUGAGGUUCUACCGACUGGUUGUCACUGCACCCUCAUUGGUGCAUACAGAUCUCAAUGUCAGGGCCCCUGAGGGGUGAUUCCGUCUAGACUACCUAGCUUUGGAGAGUAUACGAGUGCUACAGGAGUUGGCUAUAUCCCCAUAGUGAGAGACCAAAACAAAUAUUUGAAAGAGAACUUAAGGUUACUAACGUAACCUCGGUUCUCUGAUAAUAUGAAUGAGGUCCCUCACCGCGUUUCACUUCAUAUUGUGCGUAAGGAAGAAGACAUACUUGAUAAUGAAGUUGGAAGACGGGACCGUGGCGCCUGAUAAGGAGUGGGUUCCCCACUAUUCACAUAUCCCGUAGUGAGUGACCUCACUCAUAUUAUCAGAGAACCGGGGUUACACAAGUACUGUAACCUUAGGUUAUUAUACUCAAAUGUGGAUAAAUGCACGGCUUCUUUUGACCAAUAUCCUGGGCCCAGUUUAAAAAAAAAUCUUAAUCUGGAUCAGAAUGAUUUUUUUGCUGUCCAGAAUCAGAUCGGUCUUUUUUUUAGCAAGUUCUUCAGAAAAUAAGUGGAUAGGAACAUUUUGAUCCCGAUAUUACAAUAUAAAGGUCACAGAUCUGGAUUUUCAGUGUGUUUUUUAAACCUCCCACCUUAGUUACAUUGACAUUGUUUGGUUGUAGUGCCUUUCAAGAGAGUAGAGGCUUUAGAAACAUUUGCGGUGGACGAUAGACGGGCCGGAUUCCUCAUAUUCCUGCUUGGAAAUCCACAUCUGUUGGAAGGUGGAGAGAGAGGCCAGGAUGGAGCCACCGAUCCACACAGAGUAUUUACGCUCAGGAGGGGCGAUGAUCUUAAUCUUAAUCUUCCAACCUGAAUCCACCCUUCCAGUAGAAUCAAGAUCAUCCAGAUUAUUUCAGCCUCAAAACUAUCCUAAUCGCUACCUUUUUGAAUUUUGAAAAACGCAACUACAACAUUUAAUCUUUAUUAAAGUUGAGAUUGUAUUAGCAAAUCCGAAUGUUCCUAAUCUAAUUCUUCAGUUUCGAAAAAUCCAAAUCUAAGAUUUAUCUGAUUUCUUUGAUUGGAUUUUAGCAAUGUUUUUAAAAACUGGGCACGGGGCUGACCACCCACUACUGACCACCCAGUGAGCACAACUGGUUGUGUCUUCCACUGCUCACUGGGCACCAACCAUUGGAUUGGUGGAGGCAUGGCCUAGUGGGGGUUUCCACCAUAUUUCUUAUACCAGUCAUUUCCUUUCAAAUCAGGGAAGUAAACAAGUUCACACUUUGGGAGGAAGGAGAGAUCAUUUUGCAUAUAUAGUGAUGUGGACACCCCUUCAAAUUAGUGGAUUCUACUAUUUCAGCCACAUCCGUGGUGUAUAAAAUAGAGCACACAUCCAUGCAAUCUCCAUAGACAAACAUUGGCAGUAGAAUGGCCUUACUGAAGAGCUCAGUGACUUUCAACAUGGCACUGUCAUAGGAUGCCACCUUUCUAACAAGUCAGUUUAUCACAUUUCUGCCCUGCUAGAGCUGCCCCGGUCAACUCGAAGUGCUGUUAUUGUGAAGUGGAAAUGUCUAGGAGCAACAACGGUUCAGCCACAAAGUGGUAGGCCACACAAGCUCACAGAACAGGACCUUCGAGUGCUGAAGUGCGUAGCGUGUGCAACACUCAUUACCAUGUUCCAAAUGGCUCUGGAAGCAACGUCAGCACAAUAACUGUUCGUCAGGAGCUUCAUGUAAUGGGUUUCCAUGGCCGAGCAGAGGUACACAAGCUUAAGAUCACCAUGCACAAUACCAAGCGUCGGCUGGAGUGGUGUAAAAGUCGCUGCCAUUGGACUCUGGAGCAGUGGAAAUGCAUUCUCUGGAGUGAGGAAUCACGCUUCACCAUCUGUCAGUACGACAGACGAAUCUGGGUUUAGCGGAUGCCAGGAGAACGCUACCUGCCCGAUUGCAUAGUGCCAACUGUAAAGUUUAGUGUAGGAGGAAUAAUGGCCAGGGGCUGUUUUUCAUGGUUCGGGCUAGGCCCCUUUGUUCCAGUUGAGGGAAAUCUUAACGCUACAGCAUACAAUUACAUUCUAGACAAUUCUAUGAUUCCAACUUUGUGGCAACAGUUUGGGGAAGGCCCUUUUCUGUUUCAGCAUGACAAUUCCCCCGUGCACAAAGCAAGGUCCAUACAGAAAUGGUUUGUCGAGAUUGGUGUGGAAUAACUUGACUGGCCUGCAUAGAGCCCUGACCUCAACCCAUCGAACACCUUUGAGAUGAAUUGGAACGCAGACUGCAGACAUCACCUCAACCUCACUAAUGCUUUUGUGGCUGAAUGCUGCAGGGACUUGCUUCCAAUGUUCCAACAUCUAGUGGAAAGACUUCCCAGAAGAGUGGAGGCUGUUAUAGCAGCAAAGGGGGGACCAACUCCAUAUUAAUGCCCAUGAUUUUGGAAUGAGAUGUUUGACGAGCAGGUGUCCACAUACUUUUGGUCAUGUAGUGUAAUUGUAAGAGUAAGAUAAGAGUAAUUCGGAAAUAGCCCUGAAGUAGGCUACUGUCACCAUUUUCUGUGUCAGUGGGAUUGACAAAGCUUCUAAUAGGUUCUAGUUGUUUCUCUGUAGAUAGGGUACUGAGUUUGUGUCUCGGAAUAUACUGUGUGCAAAGAUGAAUGAUCUGCAGCUUUGAUUUGAAUGACCCACUUACACUCACUGGUAAAACAUGGCAACCAGAGGAGGAGAGUGUAUUUAUCUGAUGCUCUUCACCAUUGGUUCAUAAUAGAUCCACCCCUUCCCCUUUAAAAGUCUAUGACUUUUACAGAAGAAGAGAAAGACCCAGAAGAGAGCUCGAGUAAAACUGGUAUCCUGGACAUUUGCUUAAUCAAGAAGACAUGGAAAGUGUACUAAAGUGGAUGGAGAAGCUGCUGUUUCUGCUGGUUCUGACCUAUGGUUGUUAUGGUGAACCUCAAGAUCUCUCAGGGAAAAAGUUCAUCAUCCCAGUCGAGACAAGCGACUCGUUUGUAAAACUCUCUGACAACGUCUUAAAGCCUGUUAUUGCUAUGACCAUGUGUCAGAGGUUCUUCACUGAGGUACAACGAGACCAGUCCCUUUUCUCUCUAGCAACCCCCUCUGAUUCCAAAGAUAUCAAUCUGUGUCUGCAAUCAAAGGGUGGGUAUAAACUGAAUAUCAGAGGAAAUUCUGUUACUAUCAACGGUUUGCCAGAAAAUAGAAAUGGAUGGAUCUCUUUUUGUGUCACGUGGGACUCUAAAACUGGUCUCACCCAGAUGUGGGCAAAUGGGAGACGAAGUGCAUCGAAGAUUCUUAAGCCAAAUGGCCCUAUAAAUGGAAAACCAAGUAUAAUCUUAGGUCAAAACCAAGGCAGUUAUGGUGGAGGUUUUGUAGCAUCACAAUCCUUUGUGGGGGAUGUUACUGAUGUACACUUCUGGGACAGUGUCAUCUCUCCUUGCCAAAUCAAAUUGUAUAUGCAAGGGAAAAACUUUACUCCAGGAAAUAUUCUCAACUGGAAAGCAUUGGAGUUCACUACUGGGGGAGGGGUGUUCAAGGAGAUAAGUGACUAUACCUGUUAGCAAUACAUUUGUACCCGGUAUUGUUCAUGUUUUACAAAUGAUGAUGACAGUAAUCAUAAUACAUUUUAUGUUCAUAGCAGCUUUCCCUUUAAAAGCUCUGUUACGAAUCAAUAUCCCAUAUUUUUAUGUUCCUGAGUACUCAUUUAAUAGAAAAGAAUAGUGCAAUAAAGUUUCAAUAAUUUCUCAUAAAUGUUUGUCUGUCUUUCAUUUAGCGUUUGUAUGCAGAUGACCUCUGAAAUAGUGUAAAGUGUUAUUUUCAGAGGAGAAUGAAACCGAAAAAGCAAGAUGUCUUUAUUGACAUUUUUCCAGUGUGUCUGUGUGCACAGGUCGUUGUGUAAACAGAGAUGAAUGACUUUGCUGGCCAAUUGCAACUACCAGGCAGAACCACAUGCAGCUCUGUAUUAGCGCUGGAGUUCAUGCACCUACGUGUUGGAACAACUUUCAUGCAACUAAAAACCCACAAGAAUAAACCAGCAGAUCAGUUGAUCUCAUGUUACCGUGUCAAGCUUUGAUUAGAGACAGCUGCGUCUAGGUUCUCUACUCCCGCUCCUUAUAGGCCUAGUCUGGUAAUCGAUCUAAAAAAAAGACUUAUUGUAAGAAUAUAGGAUUAUAUUUCAUACAAACAUGUAAUCUUAAAUAUCAAGAUAAUUAUAAUAUAAUUUGUGUCAUUUAUUUUAAAUAACUUGAUGAGACUACAAUUUCUUCGAAAGCCACCGUCCGCCAUAUUGGUAGCCUACUCCUCAUGUCCCCUAUACAGGGGCGCAACUUUGGUUUCAGAAGUGUUUACAUUUUUUAAUCCAGACGGAUAAACAUUCCAAACAGCCUACCCGACCGCUCGGUGGCGUCCGUAUGGUCAUAAAGCACACCGUUUCCUUGUUUUGUAUCAAAUUCCAUUGAUUAAACUGGGCAGGACAAUUUCAGAAUGUUAGGUGGAGCCCCCCCAUCCCCAGUGAAAGUUGCACCCCUGCAACUAUACACUGAGUGUACAAAACAUUAGGAACACCUGCUCUUUCCAUGACAUAGACUGACCAGGUGAAUCCAGGUCAAAGCUAUGGUCCCUUAUUGAUGUUAUCUGUUAAAAGCACUUCAAUCAGUGUAGCUGAAGGGGAGGAGACAGGUUAAAGAAGGAUUUUAUAGCCUUGAGACAAUUUAGACAUGGAUUGUGUAUGUGUGCCGUGCCAUGGCAUGGUAGUAGGUGCCCGGCGCACAUGUUUGAAUGUGUGGAUUUUUUUAUGCUCAACUGUUUCCCAUGUGUAUCAAGAAAGGUCCACCACCCAAAGGACAUCCAGCCAACUUGACAAAACUGUAGGAAGCAUUGGAGUCAACAUGGGCCAGCAUCCCUGUCGAACGCUUUAGUCAGCUUGCAGAUCCAUGCCCCCCCGAAAUGAGGCCGUUCUGAGUGCUAAAGGGGGUGCAACUCAAUAUUAGGAAGGUGUUCCUAAUGUUUUGUACACUCAGUGUAUAUCUGUGCAAUAAGUAGCGUAACAUAAAACCUGAAAUCAUGGCCAAUGUUUCACCUGUUGUGAAAUGAAAAAAAAGUCAAACUACUGCAUGUUUCUGCUCAUCUUUUGCACACAUGCAUGUGCUUUCCGCAAAUAAGCUUUUUUCAAAUAUUAAAGUUAUUGCAUAGCCUACGUGUUAUUCCUUUAUUACUGUACAUAGUAAAUUGUCAAAAAUGCUAAACGAUAUUUGACAAAAGACUUAAUAAGAGUACUUGAAAAGGACUGGCCAGGUGGUAACCUUCACUAUGUAGUGAGCUAGGCAUCCCAACAUUUGCACUGCUGCUUGCACUAAUUGACUUUCCGUUAUGGAUUUUUUUUCUUUGAAAUGUACAAAUAUUACAAAAUUGUACAACGAAUAUGUAUUAUUAUAACCCCAACCAACCAAUUAUUGUGACCCCAACCAACCUCACUACUCACUGGACCCUUAUGGUCACUCGGCUAAGCAUGCCUCUCAAUGUCAAUGUGCCUUGUCCAUUGCUGUUCUGGUUAGUGUUUAUUGGCUUAUUUCACUGUAGAGCCUCUAGCCCUGCUCAUUAAACCUUAUCCAACCUUUCAGUUCCACCACCCACUCAUGCGAUGACAUCACCUGGUUUCAAUGAUGUUUCUAGAGACAAUAUCUCUCUCAUCAUCACUCAAUGCCUAGGUUUACCUCCACUGUAUUCACAUCCUACCAUACCUUUGUCUGUACAUUAUACUUUGAAGCUAUUUUAUCGCCCCCAGAAACCUGCUCCUUUUACUCUCUGUUCCGGACGUCAUAGACGACCAAUUCUCAUAGCUUUUAGCCGUACCCUUAUCUUACUCCUCCUCUGGUGAUGUAGCUCAACUCCGAUUCCCCAGGCGCUCUCUUUUGAUGACUUCUGUAACCAUAAUAGCCUUGGUUUCAUGCAUGUUAACAUUAGAAGCCUCCUCCCUAAGUUUGUUUUAUUCACUGCUUUAGCACACUCUGCCAACCCGGAUGUCCUAGCCGUGUCUGAAUCCUGGCUUAGGAAGACCACCAAAAACUCUGAAAUCUCCAUCCCUAACUACAACAUUUUCAGACAAGAUAGAAUGGCCAAAGGGGGCGGUGUUGCAAUCUACUGCAGAGAUAGCCUGCAGAGUUCUGUCCUACUAUCCAGGUCUGUACCCAAACAAUUUGAACUUCUACUUUUAAAAAUCCACCUCUCUAAAAACAAGUCUCUCACCGUUGCUACCUGCUAUAGACCACCCUCUGCCCCCAGCUGUGCCCUGGACAACAUAUGUGAACUGAUUGCCCCCCCCAUCUAUCUUCAGAGCUCGUGCUGCUAGGUGACCUAAACUGGGACAUGCUUAACACCCUAGCCAUCCUACAAUCUAAGCUUGAUGCCCUCAAUCUCACACAAAUGAUCAAUGAACCUACCAGGUACCACCCCAAAGCCAUAAACACGCCCACCCUCAUAGAUAUCAUCUUAACCAACUUGCCCUCUAAAUACACCUCUGCUGUUUUCAACCAAGAUCUCAGCGAUCACUGCCUCAUUGCCUGCAUCCGUAAUGGGUCAGCGGUCAAACGACCUCCACUCAUCACUGUCAAACGCUCCCUGAAACACUUCAGCGAGCAGGCCUUUCUAAUCGACCUGGCCUGGAUAUCCUGGAAGGAUAUUGACCUCAUCUCGUCAGUAGAGGAUGCCUGGUUAUUUUUUUUAAAUGCCUUCCUCACCAUCUUAAAUAAGCAUGCCCCAUUCAAGAAAUUUAGAACCAGGAACAGAUAUUGCCCUUGGUUCUCUCCAGACCUGACUGCCCUUAACCAACACAUAAAAAUCCUGUGGCGUUCUGCAUUAGCAUCGAACAGCCCCCGUGAUAUGCAACUUCUCAGGGAAGUUAGAAACCAAAAUACACAGGCAGUUAGAAAAGCCAAGGGUAUCUUUUUCAAGCAGAAAUUUACUUCCUGCAACACAAACUCAAAAAAGUUCUGGGACACUGUAAAGUCCGAGGAGAAUAUGAACACCUCCUCCCAGCUGCCCACUGCACUAAGGAUAGGAAACUCGGUCACCACCGAUAAAUCCACUAUAACUGAGAAUUUCAAUAAGCAUUUUUCUACGGCUGGCCAUGCUUUCCACCUGGCUAUGCCUACCCUGGUCAACAGCACUGCACCCCCCACAGCAACUCGCCCAAGCCUUCCCCAUUUCUCCUUCUCCCAAAUCCAGUCAGCUGAUGUUCUGAAAGAGCUGCAAAAUCUGGACCCCUACAAAUCAGCCGGGCUAGACAAUCUGAACCCUUUCUUUCUAAAAUGAUCUGCCGAAAUUGUUGCAACCCCUAUUACUAGCCUGUUCAACCUCUCUUUUGUGUCGUCUGAGAUUCCCAAAGAUUAGAAAGCAGCUGCGGUCAUCCCCCUCUUCAAAGGAGAGGACAUUCUUGACCCAAACUGCUACAGACCUAUAUCUAUCCUACCCUGCCUUUCUAAGGUCUUCGAAAGCCAAGUCAACAAACAGAUUACCGACCAUUUCGAAUCCCACCGCACCUUCUCCGCUAUGCAAUCUGGUUUCAGAGCUGGUCAUGGGUGCACCUCAGCCACGCUCAAGGUCCUAAACGAUAUCUUAACCUCCAUCGAUAUGAAACAAUACUGUGCAGCCGUAUUCAUUGACCUGGCCAAGGCUUUCGACUCUGUCAAUCACCACAUCCUCAUCGGCAGACUCAAUAGCCUUGGUUUCUCAAAUGAUUGCCUCGCCUGAUUCACCAACUACUUCUCUGAUAGAGUUCAGUGUGUCAAAUCGUAUGGCCUGUUGUCCGGGCCUCUGGCAGUCUCUAUGGGGGUGCCACAGGGUUAAAUUCUUGGGCCGACUCUCUUCUCUGUAUACAUCAAUGAUGUCGCUCUUGUUGCUGGUGAGUCUCUGAUCCACCUCUACGCAGACGACACCAUUCUGUAUACUUCUGGCCCAUCUUUGGACACUGUGUUAACAACCCUCCAGACGAGCUUCAAUGCCAUACAACUCUCCUUCCGUGGCCUCCAACUGCUCUUAAAUACAAGUAAAACUAAAUGCAUGCUCUUCAACCGAUCGCUGCCUGUACCUGCCCGCCCAUCCAGCAUCACUACUCUGGACGGUUCUGACUUAGAAUAUGUGGACAACUACAAAUACCUAGGUGUCUGGUUAGACUGUAAACUCUCCUUCCAGACUCACAUCAAACAUCUCCAAUCCAAAGUGAAAUCUAGAAUUGGCUUCCUAUUUCGCAACAAUGCAUCCUUCACUCAUGCUGCCAAACAUACCCUCGUAAAACUGACCAUCCUACCGAUCCUCGACUUCGGCGAUGUCAUUUACAAAAUAGCCUCCAAUACCCUACUCAAUAAAUUGGAUGCAGUCUAUCACAGUGCCAUCCGUUUUGUCACCAAAACCCCAUAUACUUCCCACCACUGCGACCUGUACGCUCUCGUUGGCUGGCCCUUGCUUCAUACUCGUCGCCAAACCCACUGGCUCCAGGUCAUCUACAAGACCCUGCUAGGUAAAGUCCCCCCUUAUCUCAGCUCGCUGGUCACCAUAGCAGCACCCACCUGUAGCACGCACUCCAGCAGGUAAUUUCUCUCUGGUCACCCCCAUAGCCAAUUCCUCCUUUGGCCGCCUCUCCUUCCAGUUCUCUGCUGCCAAUGACUGGAACGAACUACAAAAAUCUCUGAAACUGAAAACACUUAUCUCCCUCACUAGCUUUAAGCACCAGCUGUCAGAGCAGCUCACAGAUCACUGUACCUGUACAUAGCCCAUCUAUAAUUUAGCCCAAACAACUACCUCUUCCCCUACUGUAUUUAUUUUGCUCCUUUGCACCCCAUUAUUUAUAUUUUUACUUUGCACUUUCUUCCACUGCAAAUCUAUUUGUUCUUGUAGUUUGGUCAGGACGUGGCAGGGGGUAUUUGUUUUAUGUGGUUCAGGGUGUGUUUGUGUAUGUGUUCAUGUAGAGGGGGUAUUUGGUUUAUAUGGUUCGGGGUGGUUAUGUAUGUAGAGGGGUAUUUGAUUUAUUAGUCGAGGGUUUUGGUUAUCGUUCUAUGUUAGUUUUUCUAUGUUCUGUCUAGGUGUUUGUAUUUCUAUGUUUUGGUAAUGGGGAUUGGGGCCUUCAAUUGGAGGCAGCUGUCUAUCGUUGCCUCUGAUUGAAGGUCCUAUAUUUAGGAGUGUGUUUGUCAUGGGAUUUUGUGGGAAAUUGUUGCUGUGUAUUGCUUUGUGCCUUACCGGUCUGUUCUUUGUCUUGUUUUUUGUAUACGUGUUUGUUUUGGUUUUCCUUCUUUGUCCUUUAAUAAAAGAAGAUGAGUAUACAUUUUCCCGCUGCGUUUUGGUCUAAAGCCCUACGACACCGUGACAGAAUCUCCCACCAAACACGGACCAAGCAGCAGAGGAGGGAGCAGCAACAGAGCCCAGUGGAAUCAUGGACAUGGGAGGAAAUUCUGGACGGGGCUGGACCAUGGCACCAGGCUGGGGAACAUCGUCGCCCACCGGAGGAGAUAGAGGCAGCCAGUUUGUUCAGUUUGCUUCCGUUUAAGAAAUGUUUUUCAACAGAAUAAAUACACCCCUGAUCACGUGUGAACACACAGCCAAGUUGUACUCGUUCUCGCGUCUUUGCGCUCUCGUCCUCUCCUUUUCCCUUCGCUUGUGGAAUUCAAUGCACAACACAUCAGCUGUAUGUGACCAGGCUAAAAAACCUUUCCAAGCCACAGCCUACAUCGUUGUCAUCAUAUUAGCUAAAGUAAUGUCCUAGUCAACAUAGCUAAUAGAACUAAUGCAUUAGUAAACCCACUACAAUCAUGCAGUUACAUCGGCGGGCCAGGUGGCAAUACAUUUGUAAAAACAAAAGCUUACCUUGACUUGGAAGAGUUCCAGUGUUGUGGUGGAUAGUCAUAGCCAGCUAGCUAACAUAGCAUCCCUCUGUUUGAGCAGGGUGUUUCAGUAGGCUAUACUAGCUAAGUAAGUGAAACUGAAAGUGAAAAAAAACGACAAUCUCUAUAUAGAUUUCUCUCUUGCUUCUCCUUCAUUUUGGAGUAAAUUAAUUAGUUCAAAAUUGUUCAAUUAUUCUUUUUCUCUCUCUUUGAGUCAACUACUCACUACAUUUUAUGCCCUGCAGUGCUAGCAAGCUGCUUUCAUUACUAGAUUCAUUUUCUGAUCCUUUGAUUGGGUGGACAUAUCAGUUGAUGCUGCAAGAGCUCUGAUAGGUUGGAGGACGUCCUCGGAAGUUGUCAUAAUUACUGUGAAAGUCUAUGGAAGUGAGUGAGAUCCAUGAGCCUCCUAGGUUUUGUAUUGAAGUCAAUGUACCCAGAGGAGGACGGAAGCUAGCUGUCCUUCGGCUACACCAUGGUGCUACCCUACAGAGUGCUGUUGAGGCUACUGUAGACCUUUGCAAAUUGUGUGUUUUAAUCGAUUAUUUGGUGGCAUGAUUAUAUUUAGUGUAGUUUUAUCUAAAAAUGAUCACUUUUAAAUGUUUUAAAUUAUACUUUUAUGAUUUCAGUGAGGAGGAUGGUCCUCCCCGUCCUCCUCUGAGGAGCCUCCACUGAUGACAACAUGGUGCGAUCCACUCGACUGCCUUCAUCAUACAAGCCCAAGUCACGUAACCUUAUCCAAAUACUACUUGGGUGGUGGGAUGGCUCACCACUGCCAUCUGCUGUAUCGUAACUAAACUGCUCCAUGGCACACCAUAAUGCUUUGGAAUGUG
rnacentral:lncRNA from 1 species